rnacentral:lncRNA from 1 species
UGAAUGUCUUGGCUGUCCAUUCCCUUCCCUCCAUCCAAAUCCUAACCCAUCGUUCUCUCUAUACUACCCAUCCUCCAUGGCAACCCAUCCUUCUACACCACCAUAUUUUCCUCUAUUUCUCCUCUAGAUCUGCCACCUUCCUCCUUCUAUGGCCUAUGAUCAGUAUCACCUCCCUCUUUUUCGAUCAUCUAAAUUCGACACCCUUCUCCUUUCGCACUAUACUAUCGGUAUGGCCAUUCUUCUCCUUCUCUAUUCUAUAUUCGAUGCUACCUCCCUCCUCUAGUCUUCUAGAUCUAACACC